rnacentral:rRNA from 1 species
UACAGGGGGGGCAAGCGUUGUUCGGAAUUACUGGGCGUAAAGGGUCUGUAGGUGGCUUGCUAAGUCAGACGUGAAAUCCCUCAGCUUAACUGGGGAACUGCGUCUGAUACUGGCAAGCUUGAGUGCAGGAGAGGAACGCGGAAUUCCAGGUGUAGCGGUGAAAUGCGCAGAUAUCAGGAGGAACACCGGUGGCGAAGGCGGGUCUCUGGGCCGAUACUGACGCUGAGGAGCGAAAGCGUGGGGAGCGAACAGG